CCGCCCCCGAUGAUAAGGUAGCCAGGCGAGGCUGUCUUCCUCGUACAGAGGAUAGUCGGAGGUGUUUUA
rnacentral:sRNA from 1 species